GAACUUGUAAAAAUGUGACUCCUAGAUCUAGGGGCCACGUAUAUCCGUUAGUAUUUAACUAACUAUGCAGGAGUCGGUGCUUAGUGUCAGUCACCGUCGGCCUUAAUCGCCGAAUCGGGAAAUGAUGUCUGUCAGAGUGAAAGAUGUCAGUGCACCGCUCGUAACCUUAUUCGGUUACUUGGGGUGUUGUGUAUAUCGUUUAGCGUAAUCCUAGAAUGAAAUGUGGCUUUCAGUCGUAUUUGUUUUCCGGUGGUGUGUCAGUCAGUAUUUCUGGUCUCUGCGACCGUUCACAAUUACGCUUAUGUUAUAGCGCCGCCAAGCGCCGUAAAUGGAGUACAUGGGUUUCUUUUGAUUAUCCUUGCAAAACAUGGCUUUUGAGCACCGCUAUGUACAGGUUGGGGUGUUUGUUUUUUUUCUC